rnacentral:lncRNA from 1 species
GGUAUAGCCCUGCUUCACCUGGUUAUAGCCCCAGCUCACCAACAUAUAGUCCAAGCUCUCCAGGAUAUAGUCCUAGUAGCCCUACAUAUUCACCGACAAGUCCAUCCUACUCCCCUACCUCCCCCAGCUACAGCCCCACCUCCCCCAGCUACAGCCCCACCUCCCCAAGCUACAGCCCGACCUCCCCAAGCUACAGCCCCACCUCACCUGCCUACAGCCCCACCUCACCUGCUUACAGCCCCACCUCUCCGUCCUACAGCCCCACCUCUCCAUCCUACAGCCCGACCUCUCCGUCCUACAGCCCGAGCUCCCCGUCCUACAGCCCAACCUCCCCAUCCUACAGUCCAACCUCCCCAUCAUACAGCCCAACCUCACCUUCAUACAGUCCAACUUCUCCAUCAUAUAGUCCUACUUCUCCUGCAUACAGUCCCACAUCGCCGAGCUACAGUCCCACAUCUCCAAGCUAUAGUCCUACAUCUCCAAGCUACAACCCUUCAUCUGCAAAGUACAGCCCCUCCCUGGCAUAUUCCCCGAGCAGUCCAAGACUAUCACCAUCCAGCCCGUACAGUCCGACAUCCCCCAGUUACAGGCAAG